rnacentral:rRNA from 1 species
GAUGAACGCUAGCGGCAGGCUUAACACAUGCAAGUCGAGGGGUAUUGGUUUUCGGACCAAGAGACCGGCGCACGGGUGCGUAACGCGUAUGCAAUCUACCUUUUGCAGAGGGAUAGCCCCAGAGAAAUUUGGAUUAAUACCUCAUAGUAUAGUACUUUGGCAUCAAGGAACUAUUAAAGUCACAACGGCAAAAGAUGAGCAUGCGUCCCAUUAGCUAGUUGGUAAGGUAACGGCUUACCAAGACAAUGAUGGGUAGGGGUCCUGAGAGGGAGAUCCCCCACACUGGUACUGAGACACGGACCAGACUCCUACGGGAGGCAGCAGUGAGGAAUAUUGGUCAAUGGGCGCAAGCCUGAACCAGCCAUGCCGCGUGCAGGAAGACGGUCCUAUGGAUUGUAAACNGCUUUUANACAGGAAGAAACCCUCCCACGUUGGUGGGAGGCUUGACGGUACUGUAGGAAU